rnacentral:rRNA from 1 species
UACGUAGGGUGCGAGCGUUGUCCGGAAUUAUUGUGCGUAAAGAGCUUGUAGGCGGUCUGUCGCGUCUGCUGUGAAAAUCCGGGGCUCAACCCCGGACUUGCAGUGGGUACGGGCAGACUAGAGUGUGGUAGGGGAGACUGGAAUUCCUGGUGUAGCGGUGAAAUGCGCAGAUAUCAGGAGGAACACCGAUGGCGAAGGCAGGUCUCUGGGCCACUACUGACGCUGAGAAGCGAAAGCAUGGGGAGCGAACAGG